rnacentral:lncRNA from 10 species
AGAAACUUAAGUGAUUUAGAGUGUGACUUUCAUGAACAGAAAUAGUCUCCAUAAUCUAAUCUCCAGAAUGCACUAAACCAGGAGAAGAUCCACCUGACUUUUCUGCUUCCACAGGUAUCAUAAUGACAGUUCAUUUUCAGGAUAAUUUCGUUGUCAAAGGAAUGGAAGAAUAUUAAGGAGAACAAGUCCUCAUCUCUCCAAAGACCCUUCAUCCUUCAUUUCACAAUAGUCUUUAUUGGUCUGCUGGAGUUUGCUGGAGGUCCACUCCAGACCCUGUUUGCCUGGGUAUCACCGGCAGAGGCUGCAGAGCAGCAAAGAUUGCUGCCUGCUCCUUCCUCUGGAAGCUUCAUCCCAAAGGGGCACCCGCCUGAUGCCAGCCAGAGCUCUCCUGUACGAGAGAUGCCCUGCCCAGUGAGGAGGAAUCUAGAGAAGCAGUCUGGCCAUAGCUUUGCUGCACUGCGAUGUUACCUUUUUGACAUAACCAAGUAAACCAACAGGCUUGAAGACACACCGAUCAUAAAAAUGAAUCUAAGAACCCAGGUGUAAUCUUCUGAUUUCUAGGUCCCAGCGCUUCUCAUUUUUAAGCAGAGUUUCAUAGAAAUACUCUAUUCAAACAAACAAACAAAAAAAACAGAAAAGCCACAGACCUCUGUAACAUUUAAGCAGAGGUGUCCUCUUAGUAAAAUGUAAAAUACAUGUGUGAAAUCUGUUUCCAACAAGCUCUUAUGUUAUUUUUAGUGGCCCUUCUCAUCACCUGUGGUGUUUUGUUUUGCCCUCCCUCAACCCAUUUCUAUUGCCCCCAUCCAUACUUUAGCCAACACCAUUCUCUGAUAUGCUGGGUUGCCUGAGUGCCUCACCAUGUCUACCUAGCCCAUGUGUCUCUCUGUCCCCAUCCACAGGGGUAACACCAUCUUGCAGAGAGCAAACACUCUAAGAAGGCCUGAUGGACUCAUCUGCCUGAAAGUGGUCAUAAUGACUGGCACCAUAACCCAUUCUGAGUGUCCAUGGAGUAAUAUAGAGAUGAUAGUAGUUUGCCUCAUGGAAUCUUAAGAAAUAACAUUGUUAUCAUGAUUCUUGCAGCAUUAUGAGUAUUGGCAAGGUGUCCCUGCAAUAGGUUAAAGGUGUGCACUCAAUUU